rnacentral:tRNA from 1 species
UCCUUGGUGGCUCAGAUGGUAAAGAAUCUGCCUGCAAUGCAGGAGACCCAGGUUUGAUCCCUGGGUGGGGAA